UGGGGAAUCUUGCGCAAUGGGCGAAAGCCUGACGCAGCAACGCCGCGUGAGCGAAGAAGGCCUUCGGGUUGUAAAGCUCUGUCAGGGGGAAAGAAGGCACCUGGGUUAAUAGCCCAAGGGCUGACGGUACCCCCAAAGGAAGCCACGGCUAACUACGUGCCAGCAGCUGCGGUAAUACGUAGGUGGCAAGCGUUGUCCGGAAUCAUUGGGCGUAAUGAGCGCGUAGGUGGCUUGUCAGGUCUGAUGUGAAAUUUCGGGGCUCAACCCCGAACCUGCAUCGGAAACCGGCUUGCUAGAGUCUGGGAGAGGAGAGUGGAAUUCCUGGUGUAGCGGUGAAAUGCGUAGAUAUCAGGAGGAACACCGGUAGCGAAGGCGGCUCUCUGGAACAGUACUGACGCUGAGGCGCGAAAGCUAGGGGAGCGAACAG
rnacentral:rRNA from 1 species